UACGUAGGGUGCAAGCGUUGUCCGGAAUUAUUGGGCGUAAAGAGCUCGUAGGCGGCUUGUCACGUCGGGUGUGAAAGCCCGGGGCUUAACCCCGGGUCUGCAUUCGAUACGGGCUAGCUAGAGUGUGGUAGGGGAGAUCGGAAUUCCUGGUGUAGCGGUGAAAUGCGCAGAUAUCAGGAGGAACACCGGUGGCGAAGGCGGAUCUCUGGGCCAUUACUGACGCUGAGGAGCGAAAGCGUGGGGAGCGAAUAGG
rnacentral:rRNA from 1 species